rnacentral:rRNA from 1 species
AGGACGAACGCUGGCGGCGUGCUUAACACAUGCAGGUCGAGCGGUAAGGCCUUUCGGGGUACACGAGCGGCGAACGGGUGAGUAACACGUGGGUGAUCUGCCCUGCACUUCGGGAUAAGCCUGGGAAACUGGGUCUAAUACCGGAUAUGACCUCAGGUUGCAUGACUUGGGGUGGAAAGAUUUAUCGGUGACAGGAUGGGCCCGCGGCCUAUCAGCUUGUUGGUGGGGUAAUGGCCUACCAAGGCGACGACGGGUAGCCGACCUGAGAGGGUGACCGGCCACACUGGGACUGAGACACGGCCCAGACUCCUACGGGAGGCAGCAGUGGGGAAUAUUGCACAAUGGGCGAAAGCCUGAUGCAGCGACGCCGCGUGAGGAUGACGGCCUUCGGGUUGUAAACCUCUUUCAGCAGGACGAAGCGCAAGUGACGGUACCUGCAGAAGAAGCACCGGCUAACUACGUGCCAGCCAGCCGAC